AUGAUGAACAGCGACAUAGAAGUUUAAGCCAAAUAAUAAGUUGCUUUUGGUCACAAAAGCGAGGUGUAUCACAGAAACCCGAAGAUACAGAACCUGUGACUACAGCCACUUAAUGACAUGGCUGUCAUUAUCCUCUCUUACCCAACAGGAAACGAAGUCACAGAGAGGAAGAUUAAAAGCAGCUGGGCCCGCCUGCAAGCUCAGACAGGCUGCAAAGAGGUCCGGCGCUUGUAAUCAUUGCACGCGCUGCAGGGCCUACUACUCUUCAGAGCGGAUGGAAAGCUCUCUCUUCCCAAGAGCCCCAGGACUCUUCAAACACAGCAUAAUAUCAAUGUUUUUAAAUGGAACACAGAAGGAAAGCAUCGUCAGGAAGACUCUGUAACCUGUCCUGCAGGUUCUCACACACUUGCUGGGCCCCUUGCGAAGUUCACUGCUCUGAUAUGAAGGAGAAGCAUCUGCUAAUCUGAUCCUUAAUGGGAUCACCUGUGUGCUUCCCUGGCUUCUGCCGCCUGCCUACGCCGGGAUUAUAAAUGGUCAACUGACAAGUGCCUUUACAGAUCUGAGAGUGUGGCAUUUAACAAAUGAACUUCUAACAAAGAGACAUGCCAGCUCCUGCAGCAUCCUAUAGCUCCUCCAAGAAGAUACAUGAAUGCAAAAGACCUUCUGCCUAGAGGCUUGCCUUUGAGUAUGGCAAAGCCACCCACACAGCAAAAAGCAGAGUUCCACCUCAUCAGCUUCCUGGACGCUACACCAAGGACUGAUCAUUUCAUCCUGCCAAUACAAGUAGACUAAAUCUUCCCCCCACAGGAAAAUCUUCAGGCCUCUUGGACUCAGCAGCUAAUGGCAAGUACUGCUUCUUAGACUGGUGUUCUCUAAAGACUAAGGAGAGACUUGGGAUUGCCUGUGUAGCUUAAAAAAAAAAAAGCUGUCUCAUUUGUGCUCAUUUGUCCUUCUUAGAUGUGUCUAAUGGCAUUCGAUGACUUAGGGUACUGGGAGCUCAUUACUUUAUUUUUUAAGUUUCCUUCUAAAAAUACAGACAGGUGUGCCUCUUUCAGAGGUUUCAUAGUCCAGUAUUAACAAGUUUCAGGUGUCUCUUCAGAGAUACAGAGUUCCCAAUUCCCUUUAAUUGUUUUCUAAAAUGUUCCUGCUCCAGUUGUCUUACAAAUACCUGUGGGUUCCUAAAAAUAAGUUCUGCUGCUUUAUCAAAUCAGGUCUGGUUUAAAAAUAAAUAAAUAAAAACAGUCUCCAGAGCCUAUUUUAACCCCACCCAUUUUCACGCAUAUUACAAAGGGCCCUCCAGACAGCACCAGCACCUGCACCAGCUCCUGGGACUUCACCAUCGGUACCAACUCUCCUGGCUCAAAAGGACACCUACCAACUAAAAUUUGGUUUUAAAACAGUGUAUCUGCUCUCAUGUCUCACUUAUUCACCAAUGCCUCUCCUG